GCACUUAUGCCCUGAAGGAACAUGUUUCUUAGUACAUCUUGAUUUCAGGCUGCAUUCAGAACUUGCUACAGGAAAGUGCUUUUAAUGGAAAAACCAAGAAUUUCAUGAGUGGGCCUUCACAGGGCUCCUCGACUCAUCACUCUCCGCUAUGGAAAAGCCAGGUCGUCCCAGGAACCCCUUCAGCCACGCCACGCUCUCAGUGUUGCUCAGCCGACCCAGGAUUAAUAUUUGGGGAGAUGAAGAAACAUAUUUCCAAAUCCCAGAGGGGAUCCCUUGGGCCAAGCUCUACUCCUUCAAGAUGUACGAGUUGCCGCACUGAUGUCUCCACCUAGAACUUGUAAAGAUACUCAUGAAUUUCCACAAGCUGCGCACCCACUCCUCCCAGGCUAAGUGCUGGAUAAGGGGAUCUCCAGCCCAAGAGGCCUCUCCUGCAGGGCCUCUGGGGUCCUUGGUGACCAGUGCACUCAGUCUCUUAGGAAGCCAGCCCCAGCCAGCGAGGUGCAUGGAGUCCACAGAAAAGGGCCCGGCCUUCUCCAAGAUGUUUGUUGGUACCUUUUUAGAACAAACAAAAUUCCUCCUCUUCAGCAUUACUGGGACAGCAUGAACUUUACUGGAACAAAGAUCAACCAGCAGCAGAAGCAGUGACAGCAAACUGAGUUUGGAAUAACAUGUGUGGUAGUAAUGGACAUGUUCCCUCACACAUAACCUCACGUAUAUUGUUCACUUGAACCCUAAAUAGCUUCCUGUAAGGAAAAUACUGAAGAAACUGGGAGCAAAAAGUCUUUGGCUUCAGAAGGAAUUAUCCAGGCAUAAGACAGAAAAAAUAUGAACGAAGCUGUGAGCAGGCAGCAUCCAUUUUUCCUGUCUUCCUUCCAUCUGCAUCCUCCUCCACUUCCAAACCAACAGAUGAAGCCCUCUAAGCUGAGUGGAGAGGAGAGUUGAAGAGGAAAUAAAAGUAUUAGGAACAGCAUAGAAGUUGUGCAUCCUUCCAAUCUGUCCCCUCCUCAUAGCCAAAUCACAGAUGUAAGUGUGUGUGGUAGGGGUACACAAAGGAGCCCCUUUUAAAUUUGGAGAUCUGAGAAUGGAUAAGACCUAUGUUGCUACCUGCGUGAAGUCCAGAGAGACCCCUAGCCUGACCCAUUGUUUUGUAUCAACUGUAGAAAUGGUGGCAUGACAUAAUGGAGUCAGAGGCUACCCUGAGUUUCCUGCACCCCCGAAGGGAUGAGAUUGCCACCUGAAAACAUCCAAGGCUCUGAAUGAGACACAAAAGAUAUCUGGGACAGAGCAAGCCCCUGGGGCCUUGGGACCAGCACAAGCAAACACCACCUCAGAAGGACGGAGCUCCUGAACAGGACUGCUGACGGUCUGGGAGGAUGCAGCUGCAUCUCAGAGGGCUGCUGGUGUGCAGGAGGGUAUCUUGGGUGGAUCUAGGACAGGGUACAUCUGAAGCAGCAGGUCCUCAGAGCACCAAGGCAAACCAAGGCUGGCAAAGUGGGCAGUGGGAUAUAAUUAGACCUUCUGUUUUUUGAGCCUUAUAAAACUGUUCUGUCUUUUAAUAGGGAUGAGCAGGCAGUGUAGGCUGAGAUGGCUUCAUGCCCUGGUGAGCAAAUGAGACUAUUAAACUUUUGAGAUGCAUAUCCCUUAAAAGAUCUGAAAGGCCUGCAGUUCUUUCUUUGCUCAUUAAAAGAUGUUUGCUCAUUAACCUAUGUGACUUCAGACUUUGGACAGUGUGGGGAUAUGGGAGAGGUAUGCUGGAAGACUCCUUGUGCUGGGGGAGGAAGGAUAGUACAGGCAGAAGAAUAUCCUUUGCUCUCAAAUCUCUGCCCCUCUGUAAACACAUAGCCAGCCAGCACUCCUGGUUUCCUGUCAGAUGGCUCAUGGCAUUGGAGGAAGAAAGGAUUCUUCAUCCGAACAAGGAACAGGAAACAGAAAAUUAUUGCCCUGAUUGAAUGAAGCCUCGGGGCUUAGAUUUUCAUCACAUAGCUAACGGUUGGCAGUGGGGGGAAAAGGAUUAUUCCAAAAGAGAUUUUAGGAAGGUGAGGAAACAGAAUGGUACUGCUAAUCCCUCUGAUCCACUGACCGUUUUCCAAACAGGAACCAGGACACUUUCCUCAAGAUCUGUAACCAUAUACUUUGGAAAAUUAGAAAGAAAAUAAAAAGGCGAAUGAAGGGAGGAAGAGGAGAGUGGCAGAAAGAGAUGAGGCAGAUCCAUUUAUGAGUGGUUUUUAUUCGUACACAAAAUUAUCUAUAUCACCAAUUCAGGGUACCUUUAUGGCUAUAUCUCUAUUAAUUUUCCAAAAGCUCAUGUAUGUUGCAUUACCAGGGAGUCCAGAACCUCACUUUUUAAUCCUCCUCCAGCAUCUCACUCACAUCUUCAGAUUGUCCCAGAGUUCCAGGAACUUACCCAGUUGCAAGGAGGUUUAUAGUUAUCUUCCAGAGAGAGAACUGAGCAUCCACCACAAUCACUGUUGGCCCUGCAUGUCUUGAUAGUUACUCUUGACUUCUGAUGUUGUGAUGACCCUAC